rnacentral:rRNA from 1 species
GAUGAACGCUAGCGACAGGCUUAACACAUGCAAGUCGAGGGGCAGCACAGGUAGCAAUACCGGGUGGCGACCGGCGCACGGGUGAGUAACGCGUAUGCAACUUACCUAUCAGAGGGGGAUAACCCGGCGAAAGUCGGACUAAUACCGCAUGAAGCAGGGGUCCCGCAUGGGGAUAUUUGCUAAAGAUUCAUCGCUGAUAGAUAGGCAUGCGUUCCAUUAGGCAGUUGGCGGGGUAACGGCCCACCAAACCGACGAUGGAUAGGGGUUCUGAGAGGAAGGUCCCCCACAUUGGUACUGAGACACGGACCAAACUCCUACGGGAGGCAGCAGUGAGGAAUAUUGGUCAAUGGGCGUAAGCCUGAACCAGCCAAGUCGCGUGAGGGAUGAAGGUUCUAUGGAUCGUAAACCUCUUUUAUAAGGGAAUAAAGUGCGGGACGUGUCCCGUUUUGUAUGUACCUUAUGAAUAAGGAUCGGCUAACUCCGUGCCAGCAGCCGCGGUAAUACGGAGGAUCCGAGCGUUAUCCGGAUUUAUUGGGUUUAAAGGGUGCGUAGGCGGCCUUUUAAGUCAGCGGUGAAAGUCUGUGGCUCAACCAUAGAAUUGCCGUUGAAACUGGGAGGCUUGAGUAUGUUUGAGGCAGGCGGAAUGCGUGGUGUAGCGGUGAAAUGCUUAGAUAUCACGCAGAACCCCGAUUGCGAAGGCAGCCUGCCAAGCCAUGACUGACGCUGAUGCACGAAAGCGUGGGGAUCAAACAGGAUUAGAUACCCUGGUAGUCCACGCAGUAAACGAUGAUCACUAGCUGUUUGCGAUACAGUGUAAGCGGCACAGCGAAAGCGUUAAGUGAUCCACCUGGGGAGUACGCCGGCAACGGUGAAACUCAAAGGAAUAGACGGGGGCCCGCACAAGCGGAGGAACAUGUGGUUUAAUUCGAUGAUACGCGAGGAACCUUACCCGGGUUUGAACGCAUUCGGACCGAGGUGGAAACACCUUUUCUAGCAAUAGCCGUUUGCGAGGUGGUGCAUGGUUGUCGUCAGCUCGUGCCGUGGGGUGUCGGCUUAAGUGCCAUAACGAGCGCAACCCUCGCCACUAGUUACUAACAGGUGAUGCUGAGGACUCUGGUGGGACUGCCAGCGUAAGCUGCGAGGAAGGCGGGGAGGACGUCAAAUCAGCACGGCCCUUACAUCCGGGGCGACACACGUGUUACAAUGGCGUGGACAAAGGGAUGCCACCUGGCGACAGGGAGCGAAUCCCCAAACCACGUCUCAGUUCGGAUCGGAGUGUGCAACCCGACUCCGUGAAGCUGGAUUCGCUAGUAAUCGCGCAUCAGCCAUGGCGCGGUGAAAAAGUUCCCGGGCCUUGUACA